GUGGAAGGGAAACAGUGAAACGGGAAAUGUGAGAGCCAGAGAAUCCAGGUGGGCAGCCCAAGUGGACUUCGCUCAUCACUUCCUCGUCACCGCCGUGUACGUCUUCGUUUUCUUCUGCCGGCGACGGACCUGCAUGCUCCAUUUUGCAUACCAAAUUAAAAUAAUUGUUUACUCAAAUUAAUUAAUGUAUGUUUUCGAACCCCUUCCUGAAUUGAUUUUGAUAUGGCUUUCGGCCCAUUACAUUUAUGUGACUAAUCAUUGUUAUUUUAUAGUGUGUAUCAGGUUCAGAUUUCAAAUAAAUUUUUUAAUUCUUUAUGAUCAUAUAAUAAUGAAUCUUGUGACAAUAUUUUUUAUUUAUUUAUUUAUUAGUGAUAAGUAUAUAUUUUAUAUUUUAUAGUAUAAGUAGUUAAUAUUUUUAUUUUGUAUAUUUAUCACUUGAAAAAUAUUUGUUGCAUCUUUAUUUUCAUGCAUCAAUGAUAUAAUUAUGUAUUUCAUAUUUUUCUAAUUACAAAAUGUUGAAUAAAGUAUGAAGUAAAUGACAAAUAAAAAAGUAUUAAGUAAAUGAAGGUAGAAGAAGAAGAAGAAGAAGAGGAAGAAGAGAGUUAUUACCUAGUGGAAGGGAAACAGUGAAACGGGAAAUGUGAGAGCCAGAGAAUCCAGGUGGGCAGCCCAAGUGGACUUCGCUCAUCACUUCCUCGUCACCGCCGUGUACGUCUUCGUUUUCUUCUGCCGGCGACGGACCUGCAUGCUCCAUUUUGCAUACCAAAUUAAAAUAAUUGUUUACUCAAAUUAAUUAAUGUAUGUUUUCGAACCCCUUCCUGAAUUGAUUUUGAUAUGGCUUUCGGCCCAUUACAUUUAUGUGAC
rnacentral:lncRNA from 1 species